rnacentral:rRNA from 1 species
AUUGAACGCUGGCGGCAUGCCUUACACAUGCAAGUCGAACGGUAACAGGUCUUCGGACGCUGACGAGUGGCGGACGGGUGAGUAAUGCAUCGGAACGUGCCCAGUCGUGGGGGAUAACUGCUCGAAAGAGCAGCUAAUACCGCAUACGACCUGAGGGUGAGAGCGGGGGACCGUAAGGCCUCGCGCGAUUGGAGCGGCCGAUGUCAGAUUAGCUUGUUGGUGGGGUUAAGGCCUACCAAGGCAACGAUCUGUAGUUGGUCUGAGAGGACGACCAGCCACACUGGGACUGAGACACGGCCCAGACUCCUACGGGAGGCAGCAGUGGGGAAUUUUGGACAAUGGGCGCAAGCCUGAUCCAGCAAUGCCGCGUGCAGGAAGAAGGCCUUCGGGUUGUAAACUGCUUUUGUCAGGGAAGAAAUCUUCUGGGCUAAUACCCCGGGAGGAUGACGGUACCUGAAGAAUAAGCACCGGCUAACUACGUG